rnacentral:rRNA from 1 species
AUUGAACGCUGGCGGCAUGCCUUACACAUGCAAGUCGAACGGUAACAGGCCUUCGGAUGCUGACGAGUGGCGAACGGGUGAGUAAUACAUCGGAACGUGCCUAGUAGUGGGGGAUAACUACUCGAAAGAGUGGCUAAUACCGCAUGAGAUCUACGGAUGAAAGCAGGGGAUCGCAAGACCUUGUGCUACUAGAGCGGCCGAUGGCAGAUUAGGUAGUUGGUGGGAUAAAAGCUUACCAAGCCGACGAUCUGUAGCUGGUCUGAGAGGACGAUCAGCCACACUGGGACUGAGAAACGGCCCAGACUCCUACGGGAGGCAGCAGUGGGGAAUUUUGGACAAUGGGCGCAAGCCUGAUCCAGCAAUGCCGCGUGCAGGAUGAAGGCCUUCGGGUUGUAACCUGCUUUUGUACGGAACGAAAAGCCCCGGGUUAAUACCCUGGGGUCAUGACGGUACCGUAAGAAUAAGCACCGGCUAACUACGUGCCAGCAGCCGCAGUAA